rnacentral:tRNA from 2 species
GCCCAGGUGGUGGAAUGGUAGACGCGCUGGCUUCAGGUGCCAGUGACCGCAAGGUCGUGGAGGUUCGAGUCCUCUCCUGGGCACCA